rnacentral:tRNA from 2 species
GGGCCCGUAGCCUAGCACGGAUUAAGGCGUCAGCCUUCGGAGCUGAAGACCAUGGGUUCGAAUCCCACCGGGCCCG